CCUACGGGAGGCAGCAGUGAGGAAUAUUGGUCAAUGGGCGGAAGCCUGAACCAGCCAAGUAGCGUGCGGGAUGAAGGCCCUACGGGUCGUAAACCGCUUUUGCACGGGGAUAACACCCUCCACUUGUGGAGGUCUGCAGGUACCGUGCGAAUAAGGGCCGGCUAAUUCCGUGCCAGCAGCCGCGGUAAUACGGAAGGCCCGAGCGUUAUCCGGAUUCAUUGGGCUUAAAGGGAGCGUAGGCGGGCGUUCAAGUCAGCUGUAAAAUCGCGCGGCUCAACCGCGCCCCGCAGUUGAAACUGGACGCAUUGAGUUCACAACAGGCAGGCGGAAUUCAUGGUGUAGCGGUGAAAUGCAUAGAUAUCACGAGGAACCCCGAUUGCGAAGGCAGCCUGCCGGGGUGCGACUGACGCUGAGGCUCGAAGGUGCGGGUAUCAAACAGGAUUAGAUACCCCAGUAGUC
rnacentral:rRNA from 1 species